rnacentral:rRNA from 1 species
AACGUAGGAGACGAGCGUUAUCCGGAUUUACUGGGCGUAAAGCGUGUGCAGGCGGUUCGGCAAGUUGGAUGUGAAAUCUCCCGGCUCAACUGGGAGGGGUCGUUCAAUACUACCGAACUUGAGGUCAUCAGAGGAAGGUGGAAUUCCGGGUGUAGUGGUGAAAUGCGUAGAUAUCCGGAGGGACACCAGUGGCGAAGGCGGCCUUCUGGGAUGAUCCUGACGCUCAGACACGAAAGCUAGGGGAGCGAACGGG